AGCUCCAAGAGCGUAUGUAAAAGUUGUUGCAGUUAAAAAGCUCGUAGUUGAACCUUGGGCUUGGUUGGCCGGUCCGCUUUUUUGCGAGUACUGGACCCAACCGAGCCUUUCCUUCUGGCUAACUAGUUGCCCUUGUGGUGGCUAGCGAACCAGGACUUUUACUUUGAAAAAAUUAGAGUGUUCAAAGCAGGCAUUAGCUUGAAUAUAUUAGCAUGGAAUAAUAGAAUAGGACGUUAUGGUUCUAUUUUGUUGGUUUCUAGGACCAUCGUAAUGAUUAAUAGGGACGGUCGGGGGCAUCAGUAUUCAGUUGUCAGAGGUGAAAUUCUUGGAUUUACUGAAGACUAACUACUGCGAAAGCAUUUGCCAAGGACGUUUUCA
rnacentral:rRNA from 1 species